rnacentral:rRNA from 1 species
GACGAACGCUGGCGGCGUGCUUAACACAUGCAAGUCGAACGGAAAGGCCCUGCUUUUGUGGGGUGCUCGAGUGGCGAACGGGUGAGUAACACGUGAGUAACCUGCCCUUGACUUUGGGAUAACUUCAGGAAACUGGGGCUAAUACCGGAUAGGAGCUCCUGCUGCAUGGUGGGGGUUGGAAAGUUUCGGCGGUUGGGGAUGGACUCGCGGCUUAUCAGCUUGUUGGUGGGGUAGUGGCUUACCAAGGCUUUGACGGGUAGCCGGCCUGAGAGGGUGGCCGGCCACAUGGGGACUGAGAGACGGCCCAGACUCCUACGGGAGGCAGCAGUGGGGAAUAUUGCACAACGGGCGGAAGCCUGAUGCAGCAACGCCGCGUGCGGGAUGACGGCCUUCGGGUUGUAAACCGCUUUCGCCUGUGACGAAGCGGGAGUGACGGUAAUGGGUAAAGAAGCACCGGCUAACUACGUG